AUUAUCAUGUUCGUUCCAGGUUUGGAAUUUUGGAUUUGUCUCUUCUGGUGCUUUGAUUUUUUCAGUGAGGUAUCUUCGUUUUCCUUUUUAUGUGAUAUGCAUCUUCACGGUCUUAGACCAUUUGAGAUAAUUCUUCCCAUCCAGCCUAUGUGUGAUGAGGAAGCUCGAGUAGUCCGUCGUUGCUGCUGGUGCCACCGUGGUCGCGGUAUCUCCAGUCCCAGUACAGGAUCUAGUUCCUUUCCUGUGUGCAAUUGGAAGGUAGA
rnacentral:lncRNA from 1 species